UACGUAGGCGGUUUACUAAGUCAGAUGUGAAAGCCCCGGGCUUAACCUGGGAACUGCAUUUGAUACUGGUAGGCUAGAGUAUGGUAGAGGGGGGUAGAAUUCAUAGUGUAGCGGUGAAAUGCGUAGAUAUUAUGAGGAAUACCAGUGGCGAAGGCGGCCCCCUGGACCAAUACUGACGCUGAGGUACGAAAGCGUGGGUAGCGAACA
rnacentral:rRNA from 1 species